ensembl:lncRNA
CCAGGAAGCGUCCCUUGAGGGGGGGGUACUGUCAUGGUCUGCAGUGGGUGGCUGGAAUUUCCAUAAGGCUCCUGAACUUACCUGGGAUCCGCCCUUGGGCAGGGCCAACUCCUCCAGCUCCUGCACACCUGGAGCCUAUUGCAGGCAAUCAAGCCAGAGGGAUUUAAGCCACACGUUGAUGUUCAUUCACUGCCAUUGCUGUUUUCACCUUACCUCGUGCUCCACCUCUGGACUCAGGAUACCAAGCAAACAUUUUGAAAAUCACUCUGUGCCUCACCUGCCUGCCCUCCUGCCAUCACACUGAAGACCCCGGAUCUCAGGUCAGCCUUGUCACACCACUCAGCCCCCCCGGAUUCUCAUCACCCCCCUCUCAACACUCUAUGUCCCCAACUGCAAUGUGACUGUUCCCUGCUCAGCUCCACUCUGCAUCUCAGGCCCCGUUCCCUCGCCCUAGCCACGCCACGCCACGUCAAACUCCACGUCUUAUUGUUUUUUGUCCUUGCUACGUUUCUUGCACUCCAGCCUAAUAAAUUAUUGUUACAUC